GUGAACGCUGGCGGUAGGCCUAACACAUGCAAGUCGAACGGCAGCACAGUAAGAGCUUGCUCUUACGGGUGGCGAGUGGCGGACGGGUGAGGAAUACAUCGGAAUCUACUUUUUCGUGGGGGAUAACGUAGGGAAACUUACGCUAAUACCGCAUACGACCUACGGGUGAAAGCAGGGGAUCUUCGGACCUUGCGCGAUUGAAUGAGCCGAUGUCGGAUUAGCUAGUUGGCGGGGUAAAGGCCCACCAAGGCGACGAUCCGUAGCUGAUCUGAGAGGAUGAUCGGCCACACUGGAACUGAGACACGGUCCAGACUCCUACGGGAGGCAGCAGUGGGGAAUAUUGGACAAUGGGCGCAAGCCUGAUCCAGCCAUACCGCGUGGGUGAAGAAGGCCUUCGGGUUGUAAAGCCCUUUUGUUGGGAAAGAAAAGCAGCAGGUUAAUACCCCGCUGUUCUGACGGUACCCAAAGAAUAAGCACCGGCUAACUUCGUG
rnacentral:rRNA from 1 species